CAUUAUGGUAGACCUCUCAUAUCCAUUUUGAUAAUCAUUUACAAUAUUAGUAAAAUGUUUUUUAAACUUGUUACUGACAUAACAUACUCAGAAUGCAUAAAUGUAAAGACUGAUUUGAACAGCACAGCACUGUGUGGUCAGUGACGUAAAUGAUAUAUGUUUGUGGGAUCACAUGUGCACACCAAUAUUCACUGUAAUUAUUUAAUGGACAAAUGCAUGCAUCAUUCAUUUGUCUUUCAUUCAUUCAUCCAUCCAUCCAUCCAUCCAUCAUGUUCCAUAGAUUCCAACAAGAAAGUAGAUCUCUCUGGGAUGUGGAAGGAGUCAAGAUAUACAGCUGUUUCAGAUUUCCAAAUAAGAAUGUGAUUGUUUCAUGUGAGCAUACCAUAAAGAGUGAAACCACCCAAACAUAAUAUCUUUUUGGAAGAAAGAGCCACUGCAGAAGAAGUUAGGAGGAAGAAGACAUUGUUGUUGUCCAGGUGAGUCAUAAUGGACCGUGAAGUAGAUGUCAGGUUGUGACAAUGGUUGGUGAUGGAGUUCCUC